rnacentral:rRNA from 1 species
CCUACGGGUGGCAGCAGUAGGGAAUUUUCGUCAAUGGGCGCAAGCCUGAACGAGCGAUGCCGCGUGAGUGAAGAAGGCCUUCGGGUCGUAAAGCUCUGUUGCGGGGGAAAAAAGGCAGCAUCAGGAAAUGGGUGCUGACUGAUGGUGCCCCGCCAGAAAGUCACGGCUAACUACGUGCCAGCAGCCGCGGUAAUACGUAGGUGGCGAGCGUUAUCCGGAAUGAUUGGGCGUAAGGGGUGCGCAGGCGGUCCUGCAAGUCUGGAGUGAAACGCAUGAGCUCAACUCAUGCAUGGCUUUGGAAACUGGAGGACUGGAGAGCAGGAGAGGGCGGUGGAACUCCAUGUGUAGCGGUAAAAUGCGUAGAUAUAUGGAAGAACACCAGUGGCGAAGGCGACUAUCUGGCACAUAACUGACGCUGAGGAGCGAAAGCGUGGGUAGCAAACAGGAUUAGAUACCCCAGUAGUC